GUGCCAGCAGCCGCGGUAAUACGUAGGGUGCGAGCGUUGUCCGGAAUUAUUGGGCGUAAAGAGCUCGUAGGCGGUUUGUCGCGUCUGCUGUGAAAACCCGAGGCUCAACCUCGGGCCUGCAGUGGGUACGGGCAGACUAGAGUGCGGUAGGGGAGAUUGGAAUUCCUGGUGUAGCGGUGGAAUGCGCAGAUAUCAGGAGGAACACCGAUGGCGAAGGCAGAUCUCUGGGCCGUAACUGACGCUGAGGAGCGAAAGCAUGGGGAGCGAACAGGAUUAGAUACCCUGGUAGUCC
rnacentral:rRNA from 1 species